GCAAAACGCGAAGAACCUUACCAGGUCUUGACAUCCCGCUGCCCGCUCUAGAGAUAGAGUUUUCCCUUCGGGGACAGCGGUGACAGGUGGCGCAUGGUUGUCGUCAGCUCGUGUCGUGAGAUGUUGGGUUAAGUCCCGCAACGGGCGCAACCCUUGAUCUUAGUUGCCAGCAUUCAGUUGGGCACUCUAAGGUGACUGCCGGUGAUAAACCGGAGGAAGGUGGGGAUGACGUCAAAUCAUCAUCGCCCCUUAUGACCGUGGGCUACACACGUGCUACAAUGGACGGUACAGAGGGUCGCAACCCCGCGAGGGUGAGCAAAUCCCAUAAAACCGUUCUCAGUUCGGAUUGUAGGCUGCAACUCGCCUACAUGAAGCCGGAAUCGCUAGUAAUCGUGGAUCAGCAUGCCCACGG
rnacentral:rRNA from 1 species